UUCGGGGCUCUUUGGUGAUUCAUGAUAACUUUACGGAUCGCAUAGCCUUGCGCUGGCGACGGUUCAUUCAAAUUUCUGCCCUAUCAACUUUCGAUGGUAAGGUAUUGGCUUACCAUGGUUUCAACGGGUAACGGGGAAUUAGGGUUCGAUUCCGGAGAGGGAGCCUGAGAAACGGCUACCACAUCCAAGGAAGGCAGCAGGCGCGCAAAUUACCCAAUCCCGACACGGGGAGGUAGUGACAAUAAAUACUGAUACAGGGCUCUUUUGGGUCUUGUAAUUGGAAUGAGUACAAUUUAAACCUCUUAACGAGGAACAAUUGGAGGGCAAGUCUGGUGCCAGCAGCCGCGGUAAUUCCAGCUCCAAUAGCGUAUAUUAAAGUUGUUGCAGUUAAAAAGCUCGUAGUUGAAACUUGGGCCUGGCUGGCGGGUCCGCCUCACCGCGUGCACUCGUCCGGCCGGGCCUUCCUUCUGAAGAACCUCAUGCCCUUCACUGGGCGUGUUGGGGAAUCAGGACUUUUACUUUGAAAAAAUUAGAGUGUUCAAAGCAGGCCUUUGCUCGAAUACGUUAGCAUGGAAUAAUAAAAUAGGGCGUGCGUUUCUAUUUUGUUGGUUUCUAGAGACGCCGCAAUGAUUAACAGGAACAGUCGGGGGCAUCAGUAUUCAGUUGUCAGAGGUGAAAUUCUUGGAUUUACUGAAGACUAACUACUGCGAAAGCAUUUGCCAAGGAUGUUUUCAUUAAUCAGUGAACGAAAGUUAGGGGAUCGAAGACGAUCAGAUACCGUCGUAGUCUUAACCGUAAACUAUGCCGACUAGGGAUCGGGCGAUGUUCUUUUUCUGACUCGCUCGGCACCUUACGAGAAAUCAAAGUU
rnacentral:rRNA from 1 species